AUCACGCUUGAAACUCAGGAGAACCAAUGAAUUUGAAUCAAGCUGUUUUGAUUCAUACAUGUAACUCUUAAUAAAUUUGUUUAAGAAGUAAAAUAUAUUAAUAG